AUUACGGGUGAAAACCUAAAACUCAAAAGACUUGACGGUGUUCCAACCUACCUAGAGGAGCCUGUUCCAUAAUCGACAACCCACGAUACACCUAACCGCCCUUAGAAAUAUCAGCCUAUAUACCGCCGUCGCCAGCUUACCUUCCAAAAGAAUACAAGUAAGCUAAAAAGUAUUUUACUAAAAAGUCAGGUCAAGGUGUAGCACAUAGGUCGGAGGUAAUGGGCUACAUUAUUUAACCUAAAUUAUUUAACGAAUUUCUGAAUGAAAACAUAAUGAACGUGGAUUUAGCAGGAAUUUAAACAAGAAUAUUUAGAUUAACGCAAGCCCUGGAACAUGUACACA
rnacentral:rRNA from 1 species